rnacentral:rRNA from 1 species
UACGUAGGGUGCGAGCGUUAAUCGGAAUUACUGGGCGUAAAGCGUGCGCAGGCGGCGCGUUAAGACAGGUGUGAAAGCCCCCGAGCUUAACUUGGGAAUUGCGCUUGUGACUGGCAAGCUAGAGUGUGGCAGAGGGGGGUGGAAUUCCACGUGUAGCAGUGAAAUGCGUAGAGAUGUGGAGGAACACCGAUGGCGAAGGCAGCCCCCUGGGCUAACACUGACGCUCAUGCACGAAAGCGUGGGGAGCAAACAGG